rnacentral:rRNA from 1 species
GUUAUAUGGUCAAGUGAAGAAGCGCAUACGGUGGAUGCCUUGGCAGUCAGAGGCGAUGAAAGACGUGGUAGCCUGCGAAAAGCUUCGGGGAGUCGGCAAACAGACUUUGAUCCGGAGAUGUCUGAAUGGGGGAACCCAGCCAUCAUAAGAUGGUUAUCUUGUACUGAAUACAUAGGUGCAAGAGGCGAACCAGGGGAACUGAAACAUCUAAGUACCCUGAGGAAAAGAAAUCAACCGAGAUUCCCUUAGUAGUGGCGAGCGAACGGGGACUAGCCCUUAAGUGGCUUUGAGAUUAGCGGAACGCUCUGGAAAGUGCGGCCAUAGUGGGUGAUAGCCCUGUACGCGAAAAUCUCUUAGUCAUGAAAUCGAGUAGGACGGAGCACGAGAAACUUUGUCUGAAUAUGGGGGGACCAUCCUCCAAGGCUAAAUACUACUGACUGACCGAUAGUGAACUAGUACCGUGAGGGAAAGGCGAAAAGAACCCCGGAGAGGGGAGUGAAAUAGAUCCUGAAACCGUAUGCGUACAAGCAGUGGGAGCCCACUUUGUUGGGUGACUGCGUACCUUUUGUAUAAUGGGUCAGCGACUUAUUUUCAGUGGCGAGCUUAACCGAAUAGGGGAGGCGUAGCGAAAGCGAGUCUUAAUAGGGCGUCUAGUCGCUGGGAAUAGACCCGAAACCGGGCGAUCUAUCCAUGGGCAGGUUGAAGGUUAGGUAACACUGACUGGAGGACCGAACCGACUACCGUUGAAAAGUUAGCGGAUGACCUGUGGAUCGGAGUGAAAGGCUAAUCAAGCUCGGAGAUAGCUGGUUCUCCUCGAAAGCUAUUUAGGUAGCGCCUCAUGUAUCACUGUAGGGGGUAGAGCACUGUUUCGGCUAGGGGGUCAUCCCGACUUACCAAACCGAUGCAAACUCCGAAUACCUACAAGUGCCGAGCAUGGGAGACACACGGCGGGUGCUAACGUCCGUCGUGAAAAGGGAAACAACCCAGACCGUCAGCUAAGGUCCCAAAGUUAUGGUUAAGUGGGAAACGAUGUGGGAAGGCUUAGACAGCUAGGAGGUUGGCUUAGAAGCAGCCACCCUUUAAAGAAAGCGUAAUAGCUCACUAGUCGAGUCGGCCUGCGCGGAAGAUGUAACGGGGCUCAAACCAUACACCGAAGCUACGGGUAUCACGUAAGUGAUGCGGUAGAGGAGCGUUCUGUAAGCCUGUGAAGGUGAGUUGAGAAGCUUGCUGGAGGUAUCAGAAGUGCGAAUGCUGACAUGAGUAACGACAAUGGGUGUGAAAAACACCCACGCCGAAAGACCAAGGUUUCCUGCGCAACGUUAAUCGACGCAGGGUUAGUCGGUCCCUAAGGCGAGGCUGAAAAGCGUAGUCGAUGGAAAACAGGUUAAUAUUCCUGUACUUCUGGUUAUUGCGAUGGAGGGACGGAGAAGGCUAGGCCAGCUUGGCGUUGGUUGUCCAAGUUUAAGGUGGUAGGCUGAGAUCUUAGGUAAAUCCGGGAUCUUAAGGCCGAGAGCUGAUGACGAGUUACCCUUUGGGUGACGAAGUGGUUGAUGCCAUGCUUCCAAGAAAAGCUUCUAAGCUUCAGGUAACCAGGAACCGUACCCCAAACCGACACAGGUGGUUGGGUAGAGAAUACCAAGGCGCUUGAGAGAACUCGGGUGAAGGAACUAGGCAAAAUGGCACCGUAACUUCGGGAGAAGGUGCGCCGGUGAGGGUGAAGGACUUGCUCCGUAAGCUCAUGCCGGUCGAAGAUACCAGGCCGCUGCGACUGUUUAUUAAAAACACAGCACUCUGCAAACACGAAAGUGGACGUAUAGGGUGUGACGCCUGCCCGGUGCCGGAAGGUUAAUUGAUGGGGUUAGCUAACGCGAAGCUCUUGAUCGAAGCCCCGGUAAACGGCGGCCGUAACUAUAACGGUCCUAAGGUAGCGAAAUUCCUUGUCGGGUAAGUUCCGACCUGCACGAAUGGCGUAACGAUGGCGGCGCUGUCUCCACCCGAGACUCAGUGAAAUUGAAAUCGCUGUGAAGAUGCAGUGUAUCCGCGGCUAGACGGAAAGACCCCGUGAACCUUUACUAUAGCUUUGCACUGGACUUUGAAUUUGCUUGUGUAGGAUAGGUGGGAGGCUUUGAAGCGUGGACGCCAGUUCGCGUGGAGCCAUCCUUGAAAUACCACCCUGGCAACUUUGAGGUUCUAACUCAGGUCCGUUAUCCGGAUCGAGGACAGUGUAUGGUGGGUAGUUUGACUGGGGCGGUCUCCUCCUAAAGAGUAACGGAGGAGUACGAAGGUGCGCUCAGACCGGUCGGAAAUCGGUCGUAGAGUAUAAAGGCAAAAGCGCGCUUGACUGCGAGACAGACACGUCGAGCAGGUACGAAAGUAGGUCUUAGUGAUCCGGUGGUUCUGUAUGGAAGGGCCAUCGCUCAACGGAUAAAAGGUACUCCGGGGAUAACAGGCUGAUACCGCCCAAGAGUUCAUAUCGACGGCGGUGUUUGGCACCUCGAUGUCGGCUCAUCACAUCCUGGGGCUGAAGCCGGUCCCAAGGGUAUGGCUGUUCGCCAUUUAAAGUGGUACGCGAGCUGGGUUUAGAACGUCGUGAGACAGUUCGGUCCCUAUCUGCCGUGGACGUUUGAGAUUUGAGAGGGGCUGCUCCUAGUACGAGAGGACCGGAGUGGACGAACCUCUGGUGUUCCGGUUGUCACGCCAGUGGCAUUGCCGGGUAGCUAUGUUCGGGAAAGAUAACCGCUGAAAGCAUCUAAGCGGGAAACUUGCCUCAAGAUGAGAUCUCACUGGAACCUUGAGUUCCCUGAAGGGCCGUCGAAGACUACGACGUUGAUAGGUUGGGUGUGUAAGCGCUGUGAGGCGUUGAGCUAACCAAUACUAAUUGCCCGUGAGGCUUGACCAUAUAACACCCAAGCAAUU